rnacentral:rRNA from 1 species
CCUACGGGGAGCAGCAGUGGGGGAUAUUGCACAAUGGGGGGAACCCUGAUGCAGCGACGCCGCGUGGGUGAAGAAGCGCCUCGGCGCGUAAAGCCCUGUCAGCAGGGAAGAAAAUGACGGUACCUGAAGAAGAAGCCCCGGCUAACUACCGGCCAGCAGCCGCGGUAAUACGUAGGGGGCAAGCGUUAUCCGGAUUUAAUGGGUGUAAGGGGGGCGCAGACGGCGAUGCAAGCCAGGAGUGAAAGCCCGGGGCCCAACCCCGGGACUGCUCUUGGAACUGCGUGGCUGGAGUGCAGGAGGGGCAGGCGGAAUUACUGGUGUAGCGGUGAAAUGCGUAGAUAUCAGGAGGAACACCGGUGGCGAAGGCGGCCUGCUGGACUGCAACUGACGUUGAGGCCCGAAAGCGUGGGGAGCAAACAGGAUUAGAUACCCUUGUAGUC